GCGGACGUGAUGUAGUGGUAGCAUACCAGCCUUCCAAGCUGUUUGCGCGAGUUCGAGUCUCGUCGUCCGCU
rnacentral:tRNA from 1 species